UACGGGGGGGGCAAGCGUUGUUCGGAAUUACUGGGCGUAAAGGGCUCGUAGGCGGCCAACUAAGUCGGAUGUGAAAUCCCCAGGCUUAACCUGGGAACUGCAUCCGAUACUGGAUGGCUUGAAUCCGGGAGAGGGAUGCAGAAUUCCAGGUGUAGCGGUGAAAUGCGUAGAUAUCAGGAGGAACACCGGUGGUGUAGACGGCUUUCUGGACCGUAACUGACGCUGAGACACGAAAGCGUGGGUAGCAAACAGG
rnacentral:rRNA from 1 species